rnacentral:rRNA from 1 species
UACACUCCUGCGGGAGGCAGCAGUGGGGAAUAUUGGACAAUGGGCGCAAGCCUGAUCCAGCCAUGCCGCGUGAGUGAUGAAGGCCCUAGGGUUGUAAAGCUCUUUCACCGGUGAAGAUAAUGACGGUAACCGGAGAAGAAGCCCCGGCUAACUUCGUGCCAGCAGCCGCGGUAAUACGAAGGGGGCUAGCGUUGUUCGGAUUUACUGGGCGUAAAGCGCACGUAGGCGGACUAUUAAGUCAGGGGUGAAAUCCCGGGGCUCAACCCCGGAACUGCCUUUGAUACUGGUAGUCUUGAGUUCGAGAGAGGUGAGUGGAAUUCCGGGUGUAGAGGUGAAAUUCGUAGAUAUUCGGAGGAACACCAGUGGCGAAGGCGGCUCACUGGCUCGAUACUGACGCUGAGGUGCGAAAGCGUGGGGAGCAAACAGGAUUAGAAACCCUAGUAGUCCCA